UGGACACAAGGCAGCUUGAGGCCGGCAAGUAUUAAAAUACCCCAAUUGGCUUCGCCGGAUCCUAGCGAACUCCGGCCUUUCAGUCAGGCUGAAGGCGGGGCAAGGUGCGAAGGGGGCGGGAUCCAACGCUAGGCGGAGCCCCUCGGAUCGGACACCGUCGAGGACGUGUUCUUCCCGACCGGGGAAGGGGAGCUGAUGAGAGGAAAGACAAGGAUGGGCGGGAUUUUUUGCAGUGCUGAAGGUGUCCGUGUGUUUGAUUAGCCUGGCAGAAACCUGACCAUGUUUCUCCACCAGUGCAGAACUAAAAAACCUGCCAUGAGUACCCAGCUGACCACCCUGAUCCUGCUUUCCAGAGCAAAACUUACUCUUCAGGAAGUCCUUGAGCAGUGAUGCCGCAAUGACCUGUCUGCACCUCCUCUUUCUGAGGUGAGCCCACAGGAAAGGACAGUGACUGGAGAGCUCUGUUGUGUCCUGACAGAAGUCCUGCUCCCAAAGGUCCUGGAAAAUGAUUGACCAGGUUAAGCCCUCCUUGGAAGUGAAAAGCAAUUCUCUUGUCAGCAUCGUAACAAAGCAUGAAAUCUUCAAGAAUGGGCUGGAGUCAGAUACUUGGAACAUUUUGCAGCUCACCAGCAAAGGGACAAAAAAGGGAAGAGACUGUGCCUGUCAGAGCUUUGCAUCCUGCUGCCUUUCUGCACUGAGACUCCCCAGCUUUAAUUGGCAAUUUCCACACGCACUUACGAGUUCCAUCAGCCUUUCUUCCAUGUAGGUCUUGAUGGUGGUGAUUAGGGGUAAAUCACUUUAUCCACGACAACAUCCGUCCUCUCUGCCAGGAAAAACCUCAGAGUCGGAAAGGUGAUUCCGGAGGGGGGGGGCGCUUCCAGGUGUAUGUGGCAGCCACUUCCAUCCGUGCUUCACCUUCUGACAAGGGAAUGCUGAUUGUCCCACAGCAUAAGUGGGAGCAGAGGAUCCUCAGCUGUGCUGUGCCGUUGGCAAUUGGCCACUUGGAGACAUAUGUGCUGG
rnacentral:lncRNA from 1 species